AACUGAUACUACCUGCGGGAACCUGCGGAGGGAUCAUUACCGAGUUUUCGAGCUUCGGCUCGACUCUCCCACCCUUUGUGAACGUACCUCUGUUGCUUUGGCGGCUCCGGCCGCCAAAGGACCUUCAAACUCCAGUCAGUAAACGCAGACGUCUGAUAAACAAGUUAAUAAACUAAAACUUUCAGCAACGGAUCUCU
rnacentral:misc_RNA from 1 species